rnacentral:rRNA from 1 species
GACGAACGCUGGCGGCGUGCUUAACACAUGCAAGUCGAACGGAAAGGUCCUGCUUUUUUGUGGUUCUCGAGUGGCUAACGGGUGAGUAACACGUGAGUAACCUGCCCUUGAGUUUUGGAUAAUUUCAGGAAACUGGGUCUAAUACCAGAUAGGAGCUCCUGCUGCUUGGUGUGGGUUGGAACGUUUCGGCAUGUGGUGCUGGACUCGCGGCUUAUCAUCUUGUUUGUGUGGUAUUGGAUUACCAAGGCUUUGACGGGUAUCCGUCCUGGGAGGGUGAACAGACCCAUUGGGACUAAGAUAGGGCGCAGACUCCUACGGGAGGCAGUAGUGGGGAAUAUUGUACAAUAGGCGGAAGCCUGAUGAAGAAACGCCGCGUGCGGGAUGACGGCCUUCGGGUUGUGAAACGGCUUCGCCUGUGACGAAGCGUGAAUGACGGUAAUGGGUAAAGAAGCACCGGCUAACUACGUG